CUGGAAUAUUGGUGGUAUGUCUGCAAUCCUUAAUUCAGUCAAAUGUCCAUCUUUUGGGUUUGCAUCAUGGUCAUCAUUACAAUCUUAAGACCAAGCACAGAAGACGUAGUUGAACAAACAAGGACGGCCAUGAUCGUGACCGAAGGAAAUCCCUUCUUAAUCCAGUGUUCCUAUGAAGCGGAUUGGUCCGUCACCAAUGAUCCUUUUUGGUACAUUCAGCUUCCCGGCCAACCCCCUAAGUUCUUCCUGUCCAAAAAUGAGGACCACAAGGAAGGGUUUCAAGUAUCUCACAUACUUGGAGAAAACAAGAGAAACGGCGUCUUCAACCUGAAGAAAGCCACCAGCCAGCUGAACGACUCUGCUUUUUACCUCUGUGCCUUCACGUACCCAGUGAGAUACACCUGGAGAUGAACCAGUCAAAAACUCACAAACGGAACAGACAAUGUUAGGGGGAGGAAUUUUCACUUAUUUUUGACAGGGUUUUAUGCCGCAGCAACACAUCCAAACAUCUGUAGGGUGAAAGCUACAGGAUGAAACCCCACUCCUGAGAUAGAGUUAAAUUUACAUUCAUUAACACCAUUAUAAAUGCAAUUAAUAACUCAGAUACACAUCUAAUAUAUUCUACAGUAUCAUAUAAAUCAGGGGUGAAAUCCAGCAGGUUCUGACAGGUUCUGGAGAACCGGUAGCGGAAAUUUUGAGCAGUUCGGAGAACCAGCAGCGGAAAUUUUGAGUAGUUCAGAGAACCGGCAAAUACCACCUCUGGCUGGCCCCAGAUUGGGGUAGG